GCGGCCCCGGGGGACCCCCGGAACCAGCGCUGCCGGGGAAGCGCGCGAGGGAGGGGAAAGCAGACGGGGGUUCUAUCCCCGCGCCCCAGCCGACCCCUCCGCAGGCUAGUGAUGCAGGCCUGGCUCCCGAGGGAGGGUGCGGGGCGGAGAUGGCGGCCUGCUUGGGAAUCAUCCUCCUCAGCGUUUACUGAGCGCUUAAUAAGUGCAAACCCGUGCUAACGCUCUUAAGGAGCUAUCUCAGAGCCUCCGGUCCCGACCUUGGCAGACUGUCCUCAGUUGACCAGGGAGAGUGUAAGGGGGCAGGGGACUGGAGGCAAACAGUGGGGGUUUCUGGACUCGCCGGAGAAGGACACAACGGAUCUAAAUCGGGCUUUCAAAUUGGGAGGAUGUCACUGAGUGGCGCGUUGCUGAAGAGCAACAUUGGACACAACAGUAGUCCUCCUCAUCAGCGGUUUUGCUUUCCUGAGUUCCCGUUACCUGAUGUCAACCAAGGUCUGGAAGCAGAUGACCCUUCGUAGUAACCGAUGGUACGUCACCACGCCUAUCAUUCACCUCACUCCGUCUCCUCACUUAGGCAUUUUAUCGUUUCUCAUCACAUGAAGGAGCUUUGGCAUCUCAAGACGCUCUAGGCCCAUCUUAUGUGUUACAACACUAGAGCCAACUUCUCCAGAGACCAAUGGUUUUCAUUGGAGGAUGGUGUUUAGAAACCAACUGAUUGUGCCCAUUAUAACUGGGAUAUCACUGUUUCGAGGCCCUAUCAGUGGACAGAAUAGGAAAUAUAUGUAUGUUGACUAACCCACGUAUCCAUACAUAUCUGUAUUUACUUCUAUACUUAUCUAGCUGUAUAUAUAAUUAAAAACAAA